AUGAAGAACGUAGCGAAAUGCGAUAAGUAAUGUGAAUUGCAGAAUUCAGUGAAUCAUCGAAUCUUUGGACGCACAUUGCGCCCCCUGGUAUUCCGGGGGGCAUGCCUGUCCGAGCGUCAUUACAACCCUCAAGCUCAGCUUGGUGUUGGGCCCCGCCGCCCCGGCGGGCCCUAAAGUCAGUGGCGGUGCCGUCCGGCUCCGAGCGUAGUAAUUCUUCUCGCUCUGGAGGUCCGGUCGUGUGCUCGCCAGCAACCCCCAAUUUUUUUCAGGUUGACCUCGGAUCAGGUAGGGAUACCCGCUGAACUUAAGCAUAUCAAUAAGCGGAGGA
rnacentral:misc_RNA from 1 species